AACUAUUAGAAAAGUGUUGGUGGGACCAUAUGCUUCUACUAUUAAAUGUAUUAUUAUUUAUAAAGAUGAAUUGGCACCUUAAAAUGGUGCCUUUUUAAAAAGAAAAAAUUAAAAUUAAAAUACAUUUGUUGUUCACUUUGGCACGGAUAAGUGAUGGUGACUGUUCCAUGGGCACAAUAGAAGUGAUAACUAGGGCUGGGCACGG
rnacentral:lncRNA from 1 species